GAGCCUCGCACUAUUGGAGCGGCCGAUAUCGGAUUAGCUAGUUGGUGUGGUAAAGGCGUACCAAGGCGACGAUCCGUAGCUGGUCUGAGAGGACGACCAGCCACACUGGGACUGAGACACUGCCCAGACUCCUACGGGAGGCAGCAGUGAGGAAUUUUGGACAAUGUCGGCAACCCUGAUCCAGCCAUCUCGCGUGUGCGAUGAAGGCCUUCGUGUUGUACAGCACUGUUGGCAGGAAAGACACGGCUCUGGCUAAUACCUGGUGCAACUGACGGUACCUGCAGAAUAAGCACCGGCUAACUACGUGCCAGCAGCCGCGGUAAUACGUAGCGUGCAAGCGUUAAUCGGAAUUACUGUGCGUAAAGCGUGCGCAGGCGGUUCGGACAGAGAGAUGUGAAAUCUCAGGGCUUAACCUUGGAACUGCAUGUAUAACUACCGGGCUAGAGUGUGUCAGAGCGAGGUGGAAAUUCCGCGUGUAGCAGUGAGAUGCGUAGAGAUGCGGAGGAACACCGAUGGCGAAGGCAGCCUCCUGAGAUAACACUGACGCUCAUGCACGACAGCGUGUGGAGCACACAGGAUUAGAUACCCUGGUAGUCCACGCGCUAAACGAUGUCAACUAGCUGUUGGGGACUUCGGUCCUUGGUAGCGCAGCUAACGCGUGAAGUUGACCGCCUGGGGAGUACGGUCGCAAGAUUAACACUCAAAGGAAUUGACGGUGACCCGCACAAGCGGUGGAUGAUGUGGAUUAAUUCGAUGCAACGCGAAGUACCUUACCUACCCUUGACAUGUCUGGAAUGCCGAAGAGAUUUGGCAGUGCUCGCAAGAGAACCGGAACACAGGUGCUGCAUGGCUGUCGUCAGCUCGUGUCGUGAGAUGUUGGGUUAAGUCCCGCAACGAGCGCAACCCUUGUCAUUAGUUGCUACGACAGGGCACUCUAAUGAGACUGCCGGUGACAAACCGGAGGAAGGUGGUGAUGACGUCAAGUCCUCAUGGCCCUUAUGGGUAGGGCUUCACACGUCAUACAAUGGUCGGGACAGAGGGCUGCCAACCCGCAAGCCGGAGCCAAUCCCAGAAACCCGAUCGUAGUCCGGAUCGCAGUCUGCAACUCGACUGCGUGAAGUCGGAAUCGCUAGUAAUCGCGGAUCAGCAUGUCGCGGUGAAUACGUUCCCGGGUCUUGUACACACCGCCCGUCACACCAUGGGAGUGGGUGAUACCAGAAGUAGUUAGCCUAACUGCAA
rnacentral:rRNA from 1 species